UACGUAGGUGGCAAGCGUUGUCCGGAUUUAUUGGGCUUAAAGGGUGCGUAGGCGGUCUUAUAAGUCAGUGCUGAAAUAUCCCGGCUUAACCGGGAGGGUGGCAUUGAUACUGUAGGACUUGAGUAGAGUUGAGGUUGGCGGAAUUGACGGUGUAGCGGUGAAAUGCUUAGAUAUCGUCAAGAACACCGAUAGUGAAGACAGCUAACUAAGCUCAAACUGACGCUGAGGCACGAAAGUGUGGGGAUCAAACAGG
rnacentral:rRNA from 1 species